rnacentral:rRNA from 1 species
GACGAACGCUGGCGGCGUGCCUAACACAUGCAAGUCGAGCGGGGUUGAAGCGAGGGGUAACUCGAGUUUCUACCUAGCGGCGGACGGGUGAGUAACGCGUGGGCAACCUGCCUCAAGGACUGGGAUAACAGCUCGAAAGGGCUGCUAAUACCGGAUAAGCCUAUGGCCUCGCAUGGGGCCAUGAGCAAAGGGGAAACCCGCCUUGAGAUGGGCCCGCGUCCCAUCAGCUAGUUGGUGAGGUGAAGGCUCACCAAGGCGACGACGGGUAGCCGGCCUGAGAGGGUGACCGGCCACACUGGGACUGAGACACGGCCCAGACUCCUACGGGGGGCAGCAGUGGGGAAUCUUGCACAAUGGGCGAAAGCCUGAUGCAGCGACGCCGCGUGAGCGAAGAAGGCCUCGGUUGUAAGCUCUGUCUGGAGGGACGAAGGAAGUGACGGUACUCCGGAGGAAGCCACGGCUAACUACGUGCCAGCAGCCGCGGUAAACGUAGCGUG